rnacentral:rRNA from 1 species
GAUGAACGCUAGCUACAGGCUUAACACAUGCAAGUCGAGGGGCAGCAUGCAGGUAGCUUGCUAUCUGUGAUGGCGACCGGCGCACGGGUGAGUAUCGCGUAUCCAACCUGCCCAUAAGUAGGGAAUAGCCUUGCGAAAGUAAGAUUAAUGCCCUAUGGUUUCCAUUAAAGACAUCUGAGAUGGAAUAAAGAUUUAUCGCUUAUGGAUGGGGAUGCGUCUGAUUAGGUAGUAGGCGGGGUAACGGCCCACCUAGCCGACGAUCAGUAGGGGUUCUGAGAGGAAGGUCCCCCACAUUGGAACUGAGACACGGUCCAAACUCC